rnacentral:rRNA from 1 species
UGAGGAAUAUUGGUCAAUGGGCGGGAGCCUGAACCAGCCAAGCCGCGUGAGGGAAGAAGGCCCUAUGGGUCGUAAACCUCUUUUGUCAGGGAACAAAAGCGAGUAUGUAUACUAGUCUGAGUGUACCUGAAGAAAAACGCAUCGGCUAACUCCGUGCCAGCAGCCGCGGUAAUACGGAGGAUGCGAGCGUUAUCCGGAUUUAUUGGGUUUAAAGGGUGCGUAGGCGGCGAUGCAAGUCAGCGGUAAAACGCCCGGGGCUCAACCCCGGCGAGCCGUUGAAACUGCAGUGCUAGAGAAGGCCGAGAGGUACGCGGAAUGCGCAGUGUAGCGGUGAAAUGCUUAGAUAUUGCGCAGAACUCCGAUUGCGAAGGCAGCGUACUGGCGCCUGACUGACGCUGAGGCACGAAAGCGUGGGGAUCGAACAGGAUUAGAUACC